AUCAUGAUGACAGGUAUGCCCUGGCCCUUCCCUAGAAGAUAAAACCGUGGUUCCUCCACUAUAGAAAAUAUAAAUCCCCAUUGUUCUCAGAAGUGUUUUCCAUCCUGUCCAAACUACAUGGAUUCCUUUUACUGGUGCCCCAGUCUGGGUGCAAGGAAGCCCAUUCCUGCCGGGUUCAGUGGAAGUAGGAAGAAGACACCGUAGAGGCCCAUGAAAAGAACAGCAACAGGAGGGUCUGCUCAAGGCACCUGAACUCUGCUGCCUGCAGCAUCCUACCAACACACAUGCAUCACCACUUGCUUUGCUCCGCUUGGCUGAAUGCUGUGCCCAUCACCUUGUUUACUUUCUGAAACCAGAGGAAAGCAGAAACAUAGCGAGUUAUAAGGAUCCUCCGGAGCCAUCUAGUCUGACCCCUGGCUCCAGCUAACUCCACUCAUGUAAUACCCAACCAGUGGUUGUCCAAUCUUUCCUUGAAGACCCUCAGUGAUGGGAUCCAAACCACCUCCCAUAUAAUGUAAUACCUCCAGUAUAAGGUAAACAAUAACACUGAAGGGGGAAUGUCUAAUUUCCUGUUAGUUUAAACAGAAAUGUACUUUCCAAUGAUAAUAGCUCCAAUUUCAAUUAUAGAUGGCAGUUUUACUUCCUGCAUUAAGCUCUUCUGUGCUUUUUGGAAUGACUCAUAAGGUAUAAUGC